ensembl:lncRNA
GGAAUUACCUGGGACUUGGUCUCAAAAAUCAAGAGACACACUUGUUUUAGGCUUCAUAAUUUUUUUUUAUCGCCUAUUACAGGUAUCAGUUUGCCAACAAAGGUCCGUAUAAUCACAGCUAUGUUUUUUCCAGUAGUCAUGUACAGAUGUGAGCUGAACCUCAAAGAAGGCUGAGUACUGAAGAAUUGAUGGUUUCAAAUUGUGGUGCUGGAAUAGACUCUUGAGAGUCCCUUGGGCAGCAAGGAGAUCAAACCAGUUAAUCCUAAAGGAAAUCAAUCCUAUAUAUCCAUUGGAAGGACUGGUGCUGAAGCUGAAGCUCCAAUACUGUGGCCACCUGAUGCGAAGAGCUGACUCAUUGGGAAAGACCCUGAUGCUGGGAAAGACUGAAGGCGGGAAGAGCAGGGGCAACAGAGGUUGAGAUGGUUGGAUGGCAUCACUGACUCAAUGGACAUGACUUUGAGCAAACUCCGGGAAAUAGUGAAGGACAGGGAAGCCUGGCAUGCUGCAGUCCAUGGAGUCACAAAGAGUCUGUCACGACUUAGCAACUGAACAACAGCAACAACAACUUUGUCAACUGAAGAUUUGGCACAAUAUGUGAUUUUGAAAAGAAUGUAUCCAAAAUAAAGGCAGCGUUUCUAUAGAGAUGCAGCCUGAUGUAGCAGAAAGAGCAUGGAUUUGGGGGCCAAAACUGUGGGAUGAAAUCUGAAAUCUUCAUCUUGCCUCCUUUGAUAUCUUACAUGCUUUUAGAAGUACGAAGUUAAAUGCAGAGCCCUGGAGAUGCCUGGGAGCGCACAUGAGGUUCCCAGCAAAAUUGAGAAUACAGAGAUUUUCCAUGUACCCGAUAUACGUGUGUAGCCUCCCCCUUAUCAACAUCCUCCCGCAGAGUGGUACAUUUGUUAUCAUGAAUGAACCGACAUGACUUAUACUCACCCCAAAUCUGUAGUCGGCAUGAUGUUUCGCCCGUGGGCUUGUGCCUUCUAUGGGUUAGGACAAAUGCAUAAUGACAUACAUGCAUCAUCAUAGUGUACGGAGAUCGUCACUGCCCUUCACAUCCUCUGCGCUCUGCCUGUUAAUUUCUCUCUGCUCCCCUACCUUCAGUUCCCGGCACCAUUGAUUCUCUUGCUGUCUCCAUACUUUUGCCUGUUUCCAGAAUGUUGGAAUGUCACGGUAUGCAGUCAUUUCAGAUUGGCACCUUUCACUUAGUAGUAUGUGUUUAAGUGUCCUCCGUGACCUUCAUGGUUUGAUAGCUCAUGUCUUUCUCAUUGUUGUCGAGUCACUCGGUUGUGUUUGACUCUUUACAACCUCAUGUACUGCAGCACGGCAGGCUUCCCUGGCCUUCCCCAUCUCCUCGAGCUUGAUCAAACUCAUGUCCUCUUAUCCUCUGUUGUCCCCUUCUCUUCCUGCCUUCAAUCUUUCCCAGCAUCAGGGUCUUUCCUAAUGAGUCAG